UGGAACAAGGAAAAGAUGUCUUCUAGUUCCGAACUCGCUUGCGUUUACAGCGCCUUAAUCCUCUACGACGAUGGAAUUCCGAUCACGGUAAGGCGGGAAAGAUUAUUCUUUAAAUUAGAAUAGAGACGCUAUUUUCCGAGGAAUUAUUGCAACGGAGAGAUGUUGUUUCCAUUGAGUAUCGAGUCAACGGGGAUUGGUAGCGAGUCUUAUCCAAUUUAAGUGCACGAAAUAUUUCGUGACGAUUAACGCUUGUCUUAAGGCCGGAUUCCACGAGGCGGAAUUUUUCGACCGAAACGAAAUUUCUCUUUGUCUUUUUACAAUUAGUUCUGCUCGAGAGCUCUGAAACAAAGAGAAAUUUCGAUUCGGUCGAAAAAUUUCGCUUAGUGGAAAACCACCUUUAGAGGACGCGCAGUGUUUCGAUUCUAUUUCAUCAAUUUCAUGUUUCAUUCACUGUUUCAAUUCUAUAUCCUCGAGCCAACGAAUUUUUCGUUGGUCUAUUCGGCCGUGUCGGAAUAAUAUGAAACAGUGUCGUACAUUAAAUUCUUUUGUUUAAUUAAAUUAAUCGUAUUUGACGCAGGGCGAGAAAAUCCAAGCCUUACUGGAUGCAGCAGGCGUCACAGUCGAACCGGUCUGGCCCGGUAUGUUUGCCAAGGCAUUGGAAGGCCGUAACAUCGGAGACCUGCUCUGCAGCGUGGGCACACAGCCGGGUGGAGGCGGUGGGGUACGUGGUGCGGGAGAAGCAGAUGCAGGAGGGGGUGACGCCCAGGCCAAGGAGGAGGCGGAGAAGAAAGAAGAAAUGGAGGAGGAAUCUGAGGAGUCUGAUGAAGAGGCGAUGUUCAGCUGUAGGUUUGAUUUUCUGUAGGUUCGAUGUUCAGAAGUUGAUCAGCUAACACUAAAAUUCAAAGCACAUUUUCUUACAUCUUGUCUAUAAAUUUGGAAAUAUUUCUUCUGAAAUCUCCUCGGGAUCAUUAGGAGUUUUCUUCUCUGAAGUUUUGAAAUAAACAGACGUACAGAAAUACACAAACUAAAACAUGCAGCAGUAUAAAUUUUAACCUGGGAUUAUAGCGCUAAUCUGACCCACCUUUGAACAAACUGGCCGCUGG